AUACGUUUGUAAUAACGUUCGGUCUAAAAUAAACGGACUGUUCCACGUGCACCGCAGUGUCGGCGCGUUAUACGGAAUUCAUUCGUUAGGGUGGUUUUUUUAUUUUUUUUUUAUCACGAUACGCGCACCAGUUGCUGUAUAAUAAGCGUUAUACAUGUAUAUAUAUAUAUAUAUAAUCAUUUCGGACUCGGCGACAGCACGCACUACACACUUAUCGACCGUAAACAUUAUGUACAGACCAAAUAGAUUGUCUCCGUAAUUUGAAUUUUAUUUUUCGCCUUUCGCUUUCAAACGGCGUUACGUGUAAAGUGGUUUUUUUUUUUUUUUUUUUACUUAUAUUCGCGAUCCCGUACAUUAACAUUGUAGCUAUAAAGAACAGUGAUGCGCCCGAGGAUAGAAUAUCCUAUUUUUAGUCCGUGAUUGACUACUUAUUAUUAGUGCGACUAUCGUCCGGCGAGUGUAGAUUUGUACAGUUAUACGUGAAUAGUGUAGUUUCAGCAGUCUCAUUUCACACUAAAUUUAACACGAAACUAAACGAAGCGUGAGAUUCGCCGUCCUUCAAAACCCCACAUUUUGAUGUCACUCGAUUUUCGCGAUUAUUAUGCGCCGCCGGCCUUUGGAAUUCUCGAAAUCGUACAACGUCAUCAACGGGUAGGAAUUUUCCGGGACGAAAAAUCUAACUAGAAAACUGUUUUCCCGUCAAACGAGAUAUCUCGUGAGUUUCUACGAAACAUAUAUCUAGCUGCCGUAAGUACGUGUACAUUUUUGAGCCUCGCGUUCGCAAAAACGUGAAAUGGGUUUACCAUUUCCAAAGUUUGUACGGAAACACC